GAUGAACGCUGGCGGCGUGCUUAACACAUGCAAGUCGAACGGAAAGGCUCCUGCUUUCCGGGGUACUCGAGUGGCGAACGGGUGAGUAACACGUGGGUGAUCUGCCCUUCACUUCGGGAUAAGCCUGGGAAACUGGGUCUAAUACCGGAUAGGACCACAUUUUGGAUGGUGUGGUGGAAAGUUUUUCGGUGUGGGAUGAGCUCGCGGCCUAUCAGCUUGUUGGUGGGGUAAUGGCCUACCAAGGCGUCGACGGGUAGCCGGCCUGAGAGGGUGUACGGCCACAUUGGGACUGAGAUACGGCCCAGACUCCUACGGGAGGCAGCAGUGGGGAAUAUUGCACAAUGGGCGCAAGCCUGAUGCAGCGACGCCGCGUGGGGGAUGACGGCCUUCGGGUUGUAAACUACUUUCGCUAGGGACGAAGCGCAAGUGACGGUACCUGGAGAAGAAGCACCGGCUAACUACGUG
rnacentral:rRNA from 1 species